rnacentral:rRNA from 1 species
AUUGAACGCUGGCGGCAGGCCUAACACAUGCAAGUCGAACGGUAACAGGAAGAAGCUUGCUUCUUUGCUGACGAGUGGCGGACGGGUGAGUAAUGUCUGGGAAACUGCCUGAUGGAGGGGGAUAACUACUGGAAACGGUAGCUAAUACCGCAUAACGUCGCAAGACCAAAGAGGGGGACCUUCGGGCCUCUUGCCAUCGGAUGUGCCCAGAUGGGAUUAGCUUGUUGGUGGGGUAACGGCUCACCAAGGCGACGAUCCCUAGCUGGUCUGAGAGGAUGACCAGCCACACUGGAACUGAGACACGGUCCAGACUCCUAAGGGAGGCAGCAGUGGGGAAUAUUGCACAAUGGGCGCAAGCCUGAUGCAGCCAUGCCGCGUGUAUGAAGAAGGCCUUCGGGUUGUAAAGUACUUUCAGCGGGGAGGAAGGGAGUAAAGUUAAUACCUUUGCUCAUCGACGUUACCCGCAGAAGAAGCACCGGCUAACUCCGUG